GAUGAACGCUAGCGGCAGGCCUAACACAUGCAAGUCGAGGGAGAAGCCCUUCGGGGCAGAAACCGGCGCACGGGUGCGUAACGCGUAUGCAACCUACCUUUCACAGGGGGAUAGCCCGAAGAAAUUUGGAUUAAUACCCCAUAAUAUUAUUGGGUGGCAUCAUUUGAUAAUUAAAAUUACGAUGGUGAAAGAUGGGCAUGCGUCCUAUUAGCUAGUUGGAGUGGUAACGGCACCCCAAGGCUACGAUAGGUAGGGGUCCUGAGAGGGAGAUCCCCCACACUGGUACUGAGACAGGGACCAGACUCCUACGGGAGGCAGCAGUGAGGAAUAUUGGUCAAUGGUCGGAAGACUGGACCAACCAUGCCGCGUGCAGGAAGAAUGCCUUAUGGGUUGUAAACUGCUUUUAUAUGGGAAGAAUAAGGAGUACGCGUAC
rnacentral:rRNA from 1 species